UUGAUAUCGCCUAUGCACACGCCGUAUACCCCGUGCGGAGCCAAGUGGCACGGAGUUACUGAAAUUGGAAAUGCGCCCCGACAUUCAGUAGCUCAUUAUCGUGAUCAGUUAUCACUGAUCCGUCCUGGCCAGUUUCUGUGGACACCCUAUGCAGACUGUAUCCUCCCUGAGUACUGCAUUGAUUCGACUGCAUCCUACUUGCGGGC